GUAUUCCACUGGUUGAGGGCUACAGGAUUUGUUGAACGCCGUGCUAUGCCACUGGAACUUGAGAUACUCAUUCUGGAAGGAACUGGGCUGCAAUUGGCCCACUCAGUGUACAGAACCAUAGCAAUAUCCACAACAGAGUGGCUACAACCACAGAGGGUCCAUUUUUAACACUGUCUCACAAUCCUGACGAGCAACAUGCCAAUUCUGAAGUUUUA